GAUGAACGCUGGCGGCGUGCCUAAUACAUGCAAGUCGAGCGAACGGACGAGAAGCUUGCUUCUCUGAUGUUAGCGGCGGACGGGUGAGUAACACGUGGAUAACCUACCUAUAAGACUGGGAUAACUUCGGGAAACCGGAGCUAAUACCGGAUAAUAUUUUGAACCGCAUGGUUCAAAAGUGAAAGACGGUCUUGCUGUCACUUAUAGAUGGAUCCGCGCUGCAUUAGCUAGUUGGUAAGGUAACGGCUUACCAAGGCAACGAUGCAUAGCCGACCUGAGAGGGUGAUCGGCCACACUGGAACUGAGACACGGUCCAGACUCCUACGGGAGGCAGCAGUAGGGAAUCUUCCGCAAUGGGCGAAAGCCUGACGGAGCAACGCCGCGUGAGUGAUGAAGGUCUUCGGUUCGUAAAACUCUGUUAUUAGGGAAGAACAUAUGUGUAAGUAACUGUGCACAUCUGGACGGUACCUAAUCAGAAAGCCACGGCUAACUACGU
rnacentral:rRNA from 1 species